rnacentral:rRNA from 1 species
AUACGUAGGGGGCGAGCGUUGUCCGGAAUGAUUGGGCGUAAAGGGCACGUAGGCGGCCCGGUAAGUCUGGAGUGAAAGUCCUGUUUUUAAGAUGGGAAUUGCUUUGGAUACUGUCGGGCUUGAGUGCAGGAGAGGUAAGUGGAAUUCCCAGUGUUGCGGUGAAAUUCGUAGAGAUUGGGAGGAACACCAGUGGCGAAGGCGACUUACUGGACUGUAACUGACGCUGAGGCGCGAAAGUGUGGGGAGCAAACAGGAUUAGAUACCCUGGUAGUCCACACUGUAAACGAUGAAUGCUAGGUGUAGGGGGUAUCGACCCCUUCUGUGCCGCAGUCAACACAAUAAGCAUUCCGCCUGGGGAGUACGGCCGCAAGGUUGAAACUCAAAGGAAUUGGCGGGG